UACAAUAUUCUAGAAGUCUCAGCCACUUUCAUCUACUUUUUUAUCUACACAAAUCCCGAUAUCCUAGAACUCUCAUAGAGUCCCUUUUACACAUUUAUUUACUCCCAGUUAACGAUCUAUUGAAGGACUUGUGUGAGUUUAAUUCAUCUUCUCCACUAGGUACAUUUAUGUCUGGUGGUCCUUUGGGCGCGGAGGCGCGGAUGAUGCGGGGACUUACCGCGAGCUACAUUUCAUGUUACGAUUCGCAGCCGGUAGGGUCUCCUUUAUAGUUAUUUAUAUUUUGCUCUCUAAUUUGUAUUUCGGACAGAUGCUGUAUUUGAUCACCCUUCCUAGCUGAUGCUCAUGCACUUGUGACAUCGGGUUUUGGGGUGCUUACGGGUUAUUCAUUAUUGUAGUUGUGAAAAAUAUUAUUGUCCACCCUGUAAAUUCUAUUUCUUUCUAUUUAAUCAAGGAAAUUUAUGGUCUCAAAAA